rnacentral:misc_RNA from 1 species
GAUGAAGAACGUAGCGAAAUGCGAUAAGUAGUGUGAAUUGCAGAAUUCCGUGAAUCAUCGAAUCUUUGAACGCACAUUGCGCCCUCUGGUAUUCCGGAAGGCAUGCCUGUUCGAGAGUCAUUAACAACCGUUUCGAUCCCUUUCUUUCAGAAAUUACAAAGAGGAAAAGGGUUUGGUUAUGGUGGAGGAGGGAAAGGGAGCGUUUAGCCUGUAAAAAAAGAGGCUGUGUUCCGCCUCCCCCCCAAAAUUGUACAGGCGGUCGUGUGCGCCCACGCAUCGAGGUGUUGUAAAAGCUGCCACGGCACUUUUCACCUGUGCAGUGCGAGAUUGGCCAGCCGGUUUAAAAACCCCUCCAAACAAUCAAAGGUUGACCUCGGAUCAGGUAGGGAUACCCGCUGAACUUAAGCAUAUCAAUAAGCGGAGGA